UACGUAGGGCGCAAGCGUUUGUCCGGAAUUAUUGGGCGUAAAGAGCUCGUAGGCGGUUUGUCGCGUCUGCUGUGAAAACCUGAGGCUCAACCUCGGGCUUGCAGUGGGUACGGGCAAACUAGAGUGCGGUAGGGGAGAUUGGAAUUCCUGGUGUAGCGGUGGAAUGCGCAGAUAUCAGGAGGAACACCGAUGGCGAAGGCAGAUCUCUGGGCCGUAACUGACGCUGAGGAGCGAAAGCGUGGGGAGCGAACAGG
rnacentral:rRNA from 1 species